GCAUGAACCACUGUGCCUGACCAGUUUUUAAAUAAAACACUUUAAGUGAGUUAUUCACAUAUCCCUUGUAUUUAUAUAGGGUACAGCUUUUUUUGUUUUAAAGCUGUUUGAAUUGUUCUCCAACUUUCUGAGACCCAAAUGCUUUUUUGGCUUAUGAAAUUGCCAUUAAUCAAGAUGCAUUCAUAAGGUAUCAAUUCCCUGAAAUGUAGGUAUUUAGUCCACUCCAUCCAUCCAUCCAUCCAUCCAUCCAUCCAUCCAUCCAUCCGAUAAUUUUUGUUUGAAGUCCCUAAAAUAACCAACCAUCCUUUAUAUGACUGAAUUUGAGAACCUAUGGCAAUUAACAGAUGAUAAAUGGCACACAGAUCCUUACUGUUUAUUAAGCAACUGAAAAUAGGCUCAGGGGAAAAUGAUACUUGUAAAUGUUAGAGAUUUUGCCAUGGAGGGAUUUCACCAAACAUAUGCAACUACAAAAUAUAGAACGUCAAACCCAGGCACAAUAAACUCAUUCUGGGCUUAGGACCUGCUAAUUGGUUUCACAUGUGUGUGGAACCAACCCAGGGCUGGAUUCCAAUAUGGGGAGAGAAAUGAGGUAUUUCACUGAAUGGUAUGACUGAGUUAGACUGAAGGAACUCUUAUAUGACACUGUACUAUGACUUUAAUCAGCAUUAGUGUUAGGAUGACAUUUUGCUUAGAGGGAUAUUGAUGGUAAAAAAGAAGAGUGUUUUUACUCCAGUUCACCAUUUCCUAAGCAUGACCUUGAGCUAUUCAUUCACUUUAUGUAGUCAUUUAGUAAAUAUUUAUUGAGCCGUAUAUAGGCCAAGCACUCUGUGAGGUGAUGGAAAUUCUCCUGCCCUCAAAAAGUAACAGUAAUUAUUAUUUGCAAUCUACCUCCUUAAGGCAUAACCAUGCCUAUCUUUCAGAGUUGUGUGUAAUAGGAUACUAAGUGGAAUUCUUUUGCUGUCUCAUAGUUGUCUACUUGGCUCCAAAGUUAGAGAUAAAUAGGUGAAAAUUAGGGGACAAAUAGAUGAUUGGUAAACACCGAUCAUUAAGAGGCAAAUUCAUUCUGCUAUUCUGCUUACCACUGUACUCACUAAUCUUGAGGGGACUAUUGAAUUGUAAAUAUUCAGCCUCAGAAAGGGUUCUGUGCCUUUUCCUUUUACUCUUUGUCAGUGCUCCUUAUGCAUAACCCAAUGGGGUAUUCCAAGGAAAAUAUUUUUAAUGAUUGGGGGGUGCCUGCAAUAAGUUGAGCCUGAAAUCUCAUUUUUCAGUUGGAUACCUACUCAUGUAAUGGAUCUGUACUAUUCUUUUUGCUUACUCCAGCAGUAGGAAAAAAAUAUAGGGACAGGACUCAGGAAAGAGAAAAUGAGCAAUAGGGCAAUGAGGCACACUCCCAUUGUCUGGCAGAAAAGAGAUGCAUGAGUCUUCCGUAGAUCAAGUAGAUACGACAAAGGUACCAGGCUUGAACUAUUGUGAUGCAAGUCCAUUCUAGACUGUGACUUACUAAGAGAAGAGACCCCCAGCAGCAAAAGCCUGUAAGGUGAGUUAUGUAGGAAACUAAGAGAGACUGGAAGAGGUCUACAGGAGCUGCUUUCCUAUGAAAGGAGGUUGUGCAAUGAAGAAACUGCCUGUUACAUGGAGGACAGAGGUCACAACAGCAACUGGUAAGCAAAACAUUUCUGCUGCCUUUUGAGAAUUCUCUCUUCUUCCUCAACAUAGAAAAGGGCUCAGAAAAUGCAAGAGGGAGGGGAAAGAGUUAAGAGUAGCCUCCUCUCCCUGCCACUGUGUCCUGGGGAGGAGAUGGACAUUUGAAUUGAACAAGAAACUGAAGUGGAUGGCACUGGAUUGCAUAUUUUCCAAACUAAAAAGUUCAGAAAAUUGGCAUUUGCAGGAGAAGCCAUGAAGUCUUGGGAAUGGGAGAUUCGACAGAGCAUGUUACAACCACAGUAGGAGAAAAAUAAUAGCUUCUCAGGUUUGAACCCUGCUGAGUUCACAGUGUUCAAUAAGUUGCUGACAAAUGUAAAGUGCUUAGACAAGUAGGUAGUGCUCUACAAAUGGUAGAUAUUAUUCUGGUCACCUAGAGAGAAUAAAUGUUCAGAAAAUGUCUACAUGUGUUUUUCUAUCAAAGAGCGAAUAAGAUAUUCAAUUUGUAUUUUUGCUUUAGAUAAAGCAUAGUACGCUUAUUAUGCCUUCAAGUCUUCAUUUCCCCCACGAAGGAAAGUUUUUCUAUGUUAUUUGACUAUAUGCCUUUUGCUGCGCUGGGCAUUUGCCUUCUUUGACCUUUUAUGGACAGUUGCACUUUACCCGCCAGGGAUUGAGGAGAUUACAAAGGUCAUCUAACCAUCUAAUCUCAUUUCCAAUUUGGUUAAGAUAAAAUAUUGUUUUAUUACUGGAAAAAUACUUUGUUUUUAAAAUCAAAGUGUCUUGUGCUGGUUUGCAAACAAAGUCAUUUCUACACGCUAAUAACACAAAGAGGAGACUAGAUGUGGUGAAGUAGAAGAAACAGGACACUGGCUUUGGAGCCAGGGGACCCGGAGUGGCUCCCAGUAAUGUGAUAUUUUAUGUGUUUUCCAACCCCAUGCAGCAUCUAUUUCCUCACCUGUAAAAUAGGGAUUUUGACAAGGACCACACUGAGUUAUUGUGAAGAGUAAAUAGAUGAUUAUAGAAAACAUGUCACCCAGUGCUAGGGACAUAGCUGAAGCUUGUCCUGUUUCCAAGGUUACAGAGUCAGAAGACACCCCUAAGAAGAAUAAGGUACUGUUGUGCAGAAAGAAGGCAUUGGGAAAGUCAAAAGGACACCAGAAGUGGUGAACUCAACAUUCAUUUACACAUUUGACCAAGGGUGGUGAUCAUUUAUGCAGCAGUAUUGAGAUGAUCCAUAGAAAGUCAUGAUGACACUAUUGGAGCAAAAUCACAAUAUUGGUAUUUUCAUAUGUAUCUCAUGAUGUAUAUAAAUACUCAUAUUAACAUCCAUUGUUUAAAAACUGUUCAGAAUUCAGAAAAGUUUAAAAAAUUAUUCAAACUAAAUAUUACAUAUAUUGACUAUAACUUAAAUUUCAAAAUGUAAACAUUAACCAUCUAUUAUCAUUAUAAUUUGAAUUAUCUGGAUAAAAAGCAAUAACAAAUAUAUAAAAUAAAGUAAACAUUUUAUAAAAUGAAGAAAAUGAAUCCUGAAAAUUGAAAAUGAAUUAAAUUGGAUUUACUGGCAAAUAUGGUCUUAAGAACAAUGUGUAUCAAUGGUGUUAUCUUUGAUGAUGGGCCUCAUUUUGGGGCAAAUUCUUCUAGCCACUAGAAACAAUGUCCAUAAUUUACAAUAGACAGAAAAAUAGUGAAGAGACAAAAAGCAACUAAGUCCAAAUGUCUUCCUCUGGAACUUUUAUUUACAAAUAAUUCCAUCUCUUUCUGAUAGUACAAAGAUGAUCUUUUAGAAAUUUUUAUUUGUAUUAAAGACUACAAUAUUUUUAUUGACAGCUGUAGUUUUUGUUACUAAGGCCCAGAAGUCAGCUUACUGGAUGCCUGGUUCUUAGCUUUUGCUGUGAAAUAGCCUUCCUUAAAACAAAACAAAUCCAUCAGACAGGCAAGAGCUUCUACCACUAAACACUGACUGUUUUAGCUAUCAAUCUGAUACCAUUGGAGGCAGUCCUAUAUUGAGAGUAAGACGGACUCCUUUUUCCUUAUAAUUCUCUUUUAGGGAGGGCCUAUUUAAUUAAAUAUUGAGGGAAAACUUUUUCUUUCUUAAAUCUUCUUUCAGGAAGUAGAACGAGGGUGAAUUUAAUCUGGGAAAAUUUGGGUUACUGUCCCAGUCGUCUUCGCUUUCUAGCUCAGAGGCCUUGAGAGAUCAUAAGGCCUCUCUUUUAAUGCUGGGUUUAACUUUCUGGUACUUCUCAAAGCAGAAAUAAUUCAUGUCUCAGGUUAAAAAAGUAUUAAAAUAAUGAUAUCAUACUAACAAAAUAUUGGUGUUUGGGUACAUAAGAGUAUGUAGUAUGAUCUACUAGAGUUCUAGAAUGUUGACAAUUGAUGGUGCAAUUACUAAUUAAAAUUAUCUUGCUCAGAAGGUUUUACUCCAUUAAACUACACUUUUUAGAGUAACUCACUUUGGUUUAAGGCACCUGUUCAUAGGAUAUCCUUAAAUAUAUGAAUAUUGCCUUAGGAAUUACCCUUUUAGUCAUUAAUAACUGGGCAUAAAUCACUUAUCAGCCAGGCAAUCAAGAACAGGACCCAGAACAAGUCUUUUUCUUUCUUUCUUUCUUAUUUCCUUAGGCGGAGCAAUGGAAAGAGAACUAUGCACAAGGAUGAGGAGAAUAUUUCUGAUUGUGGGACAGGACCCCGGGAGGGAGGUAUAGCAGACUGGUCUUGGAAAGCCUGCAGCUGCAUCAGGAAGAGCCUUUGCAUAAGUGCACCUGAGACAACAGACGGCAAAAAAAAUAGCCUAUGCUGUGACCAGCUCGAGGAUGGGGGAAAAUCAUGCGCAAUAUGUGCUAAUUAUGUGAAGAAAAGCACAAGUUAAUAUGAUCACAAAAAUAUUGAGAAAAACAUAGGGUGAAGGAGGAUUUGCAGGGAAGGCUGCAAAAACCAGGGUGAGAGAUGCUGAGUCUUCUGAGUUUCAUGACCAUUGGAACGGCAUGAGUCAAUCAACUAUUGCUGAUCUCCUCUGAUCAGGACCGUGGGCAAGCAACAGUCCGGGGUUGAGGGCAGAUGAAGCCCAGGAGGAUCUGAGGAAAUGUACAAGAUAGGUCUGGAAGAGUGAGGAAAAUGGAUGGUGAAAAACUUAGCAUGUCUAGAGGGAUUGAGGCCUCAACAAAUGUGUAACUUAGUGUAUGUAGUAUUGGAGUGACAUUCUAGGAAUGGCCAAAAGCUAGGAUUUCAUAGGCUGAUUUGGGUGAAUUUGAAAUGUGUGCCCAUUUUGUUGUGCUUAUUAUGACUGAUCCCAUAGUUUUACCUAUUCGAUGAUCAUCUCAACUUGCUUCUUAAACAGCUGAGCCCAGAAAGCUAAAACUAGCACUUUUCAGACUUCAGUGAAGUUAGAGUUCUGGAUAUGAUUCAGGUUCUACCAAAGAGAUGUAUUCAUGAUAACUGAAUUUAGAACUGAAGGAAGUAGGGGAGAGAAGCAUGAGCUGUGAUGGCAGUAGUUGCUGGGUAUGUGGCCAGCAGCCACUGUGGUACUUCCUAUCAUGACAGAGUCAGCUGCUCUCAGGGGUGCCCAGUUGUGUGUUGUGGCUUUGGACAUUUCCCCUGAAUGCUCAACCUAGAGACUGUUUAUCUCUCAAGUGAUUUGCAAACCUUUUAAUGCUCUGUGAAAGAAAAAUUAUUCCCUUUUGCCUAAACCAGUUAGAGUGGAUUCUAUUCUGAGGAAAUGACCAUUAACAUAAAAAUUUUUAAAGGUUUGCUGGAGAAGUUUGGGAUAGAGAUAUAAAUAGCAAAAUGGAAGGUAGAGAUAUUAAUUCUGGCUCUUAGAUGGUGGGCAACUCAGUAUCCACAAUUAUUAAACCUGAUUGUUCCUCUCAGCACACAUUCAUAUAGAUACCAUGCAUGAAGAAUAUAGAAGAACCCUGAAGGUAUCCAGUUGAAAUUUACUUCCCAGUCAUCAUUAAACAUUUAGAGAACUUCAACAAAACAUGCUGCAUGUUAAGGACUUUAGCACCUAAAAAUGAGGAAAGAUGCAGCUUUUGAUUUUAGACAUCUGUUGUUUUCAAGGGAAAGCCUUCUGUAUCCCUGCACACUUUAAGCAGGUAAAUGUUAGGUUGCUGCAUCAGCUCAUGGACUCUGCAUAACUUCUGAUGUCCUUCUGACAAACCUUGAUCCCUUAUUGCAUCAUGUGACCGCCUCUCCCCCAGCUCGAGCUCUGCCUAGCAGGUAAGUAAAAGGUCAUUUUCAAGAAGCUGCAGUUAGAUAAGUAAAGAACAACUUGUACCUAAUUUCAUAUUUUAUCUGAAGGUAUGUGGAAAGCAAUUGACCCAGAAACGUUAAAUAACUGGUUUACAUCUAAAUGGUUUUUGACUAAAACCUUAAAGCUAGACCUAUCAAAGGG